AGAGUUUGAUCAUGGCUCAGGAUGAACGCUAGCUACAGGCUUAACACAUGCAAGUCGAGGGGCAGCAUGUUGGUUGCUUGCAACCAACGAUGGCGACCGGCGCACGGGUGGGUAACGCGUAUCCAACCUACCCUUGUCCAUCGGAUAACCCGUCGAAAGGCGGCCUAACACGAUAUGCGGUUCACAGCAGGCAUCUAACGUGAACGAAAUGUGAAGGAGAAGGAUGGGGAUGCGUCUGAUUAGCUUGUUGGCGGGGUAACGGCCACCAAGGCUACGAUCAGUAGGGGUUCUGAGAGGAAGGUCCCCCANAUUGGAACUGAGACACGGUCCAAACUCCUAGGGAGGCA
rnacentral:rRNA from 1 species